rnacentral:rRNA from 1 species
GAAACAGUGGCUAAGACUGGAUAGGAAGAAAUAAGGCAUCUUAUUUCUUUUAAAAGACCUAGUAAUAGGUAUACUUUAGGAGGGGCUUGCGCCAUAUUAGUUAGUUGGUAGGGUAAUGGCCUACCAAGACGAUGAUGUNUAGCUGGACUGAGAGGUUGAACAGCCACAUUGGGACUGAGACACGGCCCAAACUCCUACGGGAGGCAGCAGUAAGGAAUUUUCGGCAAUGGAGGAAACUCUGACCGAGCAACGCCGCGUGAACGACGAAGUACUUUGGUAUGUAAAGUUCUUUUAUCAAGGAAGAAAAGCAAGUGGCGAACCAUUUGUUUGCCGGUACUUGAUGAAUAAGCCCCGGCUAAUUAUGUGCCAGCAGCCGCGGUAAGACAUAAGGGGCAAGUGUUAUCCGGAAUUAUUGGGCGUAAAGGGUGCGUAGGCGGUCUAGUAAGUCAGUGGUGUAAUGGCAACGCUCAACGUUGUCCGGCUAUUGAAACUGCUAAACUUGAGUUAGAUAGAGGCGAGUGGAAUUCCAUGUGUAGCGGUAAAAUGCGUAAAUAUAUGGAGGAACACCAGAGGCGUAGGCGGCUCGCUGGGUCUUAACUGACGCUGAGGCACGAAAGCGUGGGGAGCAAACAGGAUUAGAUACCCUGGUAGUCCACGCCGUAAACGAUGAGUACUAAGUGUCGGGUUAAACCGGUACUGAAGUUAACACAUUAAGUACUCCGCCUGAGUAGUACGUACGCAAGUAUGAAACUUAAAGGAAUUGACGGGACUCCGCACAAGCGUGGAUCAUGUUGUUUAAUUCGAAGAUACCCGAAAAACCUUACCAGGUCUUGACAUGUUUUUGCGAAACGGUAGUAAUAUCGUAGAGGUUAUCAGAAACACAGGUGGUGCAUGGUUGUCGUCAGCUCGUGUCGUGAGAUGUUAGGUUAAGUCCUAAAACGAGCGAAACCCUUAUCGUUAGUUGCCAGCACGUUAUGGUGGGGACUUUAACGAGACUGCCAGUGAUAAACUGGAGGAAGGUGAGGAUCACGUCAAAUCAGCAUGCCCCUUAUGACCUGGGCUACAAACGUGAUACAAUGGCUGUUACAAAGGGUAGCUGAAACGUAAGUUCUUGGCCAAUCCCCAAAAAACAGUCUCAGUCCGGAUUGAAGUCUGCAACUCGACUUCAUGAAGUUGGAAUCGCUAGUAAUCGCGAAUCAGCAUGUCGCGGUGAAUACGUUCUCGGGGUUUGUACACACCGCCCGUCA